rnacentral:lncRNA from 1 species
CUGAUCUAGUGGGUGGGGCUCUGGUGGGGGUUGACGGGUGAGGGGUGGAGCCAGGGUGGUUCUAUGCAGAUUUCCUUAUUAUGACAUCACAAAAAAGGAGGAGCAUCCAAACGGCUCAUAGAAGCAAAUGAUUCCUGAGAUAACAGAGUUAUGUUAAACUGAUUGAUGGUUGCAGGUCCAACAGAACUGUGUCCUAAAUGUAAAAAAAAAUCAGAUUAAUAUCUGUUUUUAUCAGAUGGAAAACCGGUGAAAAAAAAGAAACCAGAAAAAAAUCAGGAAGAGCCGGAAAAGGAGGUGAAGAAGAAGACGACGAAAAGCGAACCGAAGAAGAAGAAAGGUAAGAGAUUAUUCAUCUUUAGAAACACGUUACUGAAAUUAAAUACAGUAUUAAAAACCUUAAAUAUUUUAAAAUAUAUCUGUUUCUGAGUUCAGAUUCUGACGAUGUGGAUGAGGACGAUGAAGAAGAGCCAAAAAAGCCAAAGAAAAAGAUCACAAAGGAAAAUUCACCUGCAAACACCAAAGACAAGAAACCCAAAGCCAAAGAAUCUAAAAGUGAAUCUGAUAGUAAAGGAAAAACAACCAAGAACAAAAACGACGCCGCCAACAUGUUCCAGAUAAACGGAGAGAAACCCAAAUUCAUCACCAAGAAGAAAGCUGUACAGUCGGAGAGUGAGGACAGUGAGCCUGAAGUUAAAACGAGUAAAAACAAGAAAAAGUCGAGUUCCUCAAACUCCGCCUCCAUGUUCCAAACCGGAGGAGACAAGAAAGAAAAGAACGGCAAGAAAAAGAGUGAGUUACACCCCUCCCUUUAUCAC